rnacentral:rRNA from 1 species
CAAAAGCGUAUAUUAAAGUUGUUGCAGUUAAAAAGCUCGUAGUUGAACCUUGGGCUUGGCUGGCCGGUCCAUCUUUUUUGAUGCGUACUGGACCCAGCCGAGCCUUUCCUUCUGGCUAGCCUUUUGGCGAACCAGGACUUUUACUUUGAAAAAAUUAGAGUGUUCAAAGCAGGCCUUUGCUCGAAUAUAUUAGCAUGGAAUAAUAGAAUAGGACGUUAUGGUUCUAUUUUGUUGGUUUCUAGGACCAUCGUAAUGAUUAAUAGGGACGGUCGGGGGUAUCAGUAUUCAGUUGUCAGAGGUGAAAUUCUUGGAUUUACUGAAGACUAACUACUGCGAAAGCAUUUACCGAGGACGUUUUCAUUAA